UUCCAGCUUGUUCCAGCAAUCAGC
rnacentral:siRNA from 1 species